GUCCUAGUAGCUCAGUGGAUAGAGCAACCGCCUCCUAAGCGGUAGGUCGCAGGUUCAACUCCCGCCUAGGACA
rnacentral:tRNA from 1 species